rnacentral:rRNA from 1 species
CCUACGGGAGGCUGCAGUGGGGGAUAUUGCACAAUGGGGGAAACCCUGAUGCAGCGACGCCGCGUGGGUGAAGACGCGCCUCGGCGCGUAAAGCCCUGUCAGCAGGGAAGAAAAUGACGGUACCUGAAGAAGAAGCCACGGCUAACUACGUGCCAGCAGCCGCGGUAAUACGUAGGGGGCAAGCGUUAUCCGGAUUUACUGGGUGUAAAGGGGGCGCAGACGGCGAUGCAAGCCAGGAGGGAAAGCCCGGGGCCCAACCCCGGGACUGCUGUUGGAACUGCGUGGCUAGAGUGCAGGAGGGGCAGGCGGAAUUCCUGGUGUAGCGGUGAAAUGCGUAGAUAUCAGGAGGAACACCGGUGGCGAAGGCGGCCUGCUGGACUGCAACUGACGUUGAGGCCCGAAAGCGUGGGGAGCAAACAGGAGUAGAUACCCUAGUAGUC